ACCACGCCCGGCUAACCCUGGACUUCUUAGAUGCUAGACAAGUAGUCUACUAUUGAGCUGCAUCCCUAAGCCAUUUUAAAAACCUUUUUAUUUUAAUUUAGAAGAUUCAUUUAUCAUAUGUGUUUUGUCUGUAUGUAUUUAUGGGUACCAUGUGCCUUCAGAGGUCACAAGAGGGCCUCAGAUCUCCUGGAACCAGAGUUGUAAUGGUUUUGAGCUGCCAUGUGAGUUCUAGGAUCCAAAAAAGCCCUUGAACAAAGUUACCUUGGAGCCAUCUCUCCAGUUCCUUAGCUUUUUAAAAUAUAGCCUGAACCUUCUUUUCAGCUUUCUUUAAUGUUAUAUAUUUAGGAUAUUGUUCAGAGAAAUAAGCAGAUAUAAAUAAAUUUUUUAUUGAUUAUUGGAAUGUUUUAGUUUUAUUGAGAAAAAUGGCUGGAAUCAGAUAUAUCUGCAUUCAAGUCUUUAUUCUGGGGGUCAGAAAUUAAAAAUGUUUGAAUCUAAAGACCAAAAUAUUGGCAGGCUAUGAUCAUUGUAGAGUUUUGGGGUUUUUGUCUCUUAGCUUCUAGAAACCGUCUGUAUUGCCUGUCUCAAGCCUCUUACACUGUUUUCAAAGCCAGCCUAUCUGCUUCAAGUCUCCCACUACCUCUCCUUUCCUUCUCAUCCUCUGACACCUACCUGUGCUUUCACCAUCACAUCUUCUCUCUAAUCCUGACCAUAAUUACAAUUAUGCAGGGUCAGCAGGCAAGGGUGCAUGCCUUUAAUCCCAGCACUUGGGAGGCAGAGGCAGGCGGAUUUCUGAGUUCGAGGCCAGCCUGGUCUACAGAGUGAGUUCCAGGACAGCCAGGGCUACACAGAGAAACCCUGUCUCGGAAAAAAAAAAAAAAAAAAAAAAAAAAAAAAAAAAAAAAACCCUUAAUUUUAGCUUUUGGAACUCAGUACCAACAUUAACAUUUUUCUUUCCUCCUUCUCAGUGCUAGGGAUUGAACCCAGGGCUUUGCAUGUACUAAUCAACCCCUUUACCACUGAACUGUACCCCACCUUUGUUAAGAGUUCCUGUUUUCAGGUGGAGAGCGCUCUCUGGGAGACAAUGACUACAGCUGACUAGAUGUGAGGUAUACUCCAUUUCUAAGUGUGUUCCCAUUGUAGUUAUAGGUACAUAGGAGGGGGUGUGAAUAAGAACUGGUAUAGUGACAUAUCUAUGUGAAAUGCUAAAUGAAACCUAAAACUUUGUAGGGUAGCUUAGAAAGUUAAUUUUAAAAAGAACGUAGGAGCCAGUGAGAUGACUCAGUGGUUGAAGCUGCCAAGUCUGAUGUGUGAGUCUGAUCUCCAGGACCCACGUAGCUAUCAUAACAGAAAACCAAUGUCUGAAAGUUGUUCUCUGACUUCACAUGCAUACACAAAAUAGGUUGUUUGUUUGUUUGUUUGUUUGUUUGUUUGUUUUGAAACAAGGUUUCUCCGUGUAUCCUUGGCUGGCCUGGAACUUACUUUGUAGACCAGGCUGGCUUUGUACUCAGAGCUCCACCUGCCUCUGCAGCCGAGUACUGGGAUUAAAGGCGUGCGCCACUACUGCUUGGCCGAAAUAGUUUUUAUUAAAGAUAAUAAUACUAUUUUUUUCUUUUCCUUUUGAGACAAAGCCUUACUAUGUAACCUUUGUUGGCCUGAAAGUCUCUUUGUAGAGCAUAGCGAUCUGCCUGCUGUGCUGGAAUUAAAGAGAUACACCAUCACACACAGCCAUGUUUUUUAAAGUUAUAACAACAACAAAAAAGUAUAUAAAAAAAAACACUUCAGUGAUUUCCCUUUUUUUCACAGUGGUUGUUUAAUACGAUGUGUUGAGUAUUGUUGGUGCGUAUCUUAGCUCCUCCUGUUACUGCUGUAACAAUACAGCUGAAGGAGAAGGCCGUUUGACUCACUGUUUCAGAGAGAUUUCAGUAUUUGAUGGGAAGGCCUGGUGAAAGAAGCUACUUCACUCAACAGCAGUGGAUGUGAGUGAAGGUGGCUUCUUCACAUGGGGACCAGGAAACGUAAAGCAGGAUAGGAUCAGCAGCAAAUAUCACACUAAAAUCCACCCUAACUGACCUGCUUUCCACAGCCAGGCCCUUGCUACCUCCUAAACGGUCCAUGACCUUCCUUCCAAUAGGGCUAUCAGCUGGGAUCCGAGUGUUCAAAACCUAAGCCUAAGGAGUACAUUGAAGAGUCAAACCAUUGCAGGGGGCAUAUCUGUCACACUGUAAUAUACAUUUCCAGUAAGUGCUAAGCGCUCGUUCUACAUUGUUCAGUGUGGUCAACCAGAAGGUGUUCAGUGACUGUUGAUGUACUAUAGGAGUUAAGUAGGGUUAAACUUUCAGUGAUCAGGUAAAUGGGGUAGUUAAUUAGUAAACCUGAGUAGAUCGCCUUUCCUGCUAAAUUAACACUGACCUAAGAAUUUAGUACUUGUAGCUGUGAAAAUUAAUUAAAUGUUUCCAUAUUUACUAAAUGACAUCACAUUCAAAACAGG
rnacentral:lncRNA from 1 species